UACGUAGGGACCAAGCGUUGUUCGGAUUUACUGGGCGUAAAGGGCGCGUAGGCGGCGUGGUAAGUCACUUGUGAAAUCUCCGGGCUUAACUCGGAACGGUCAAGUGAUACUGUCGGACUAGAGUACAGAAGGGGCAACUGGAAUUCUCGGUGCAGCGGUGAAAUGCGUAGAUAUCGAGAGGAACACCUGCGGCGAAGGCGGGUUGCUGGGCUGAUACUGACGCUGAGGCGCGAAAGCCAGGGGAGCGAACGGG
rnacentral:rRNA from 1 species